CAACAAGCUACUAAGUGCAAUCGGUGGAUGCCUUGGCACCAAGAGCCGACGAAGGACGUAGUAACCUGCGAUAAUCCCUGGGGAGCUGGUAAACGAGCUUUGAUCCGGGGGUCUCCGAAUAGGGAAACCUCGAAGUUACCGGAGUUGUGUCCGGCGGCCUGCACCUGAAUUUAUAGGGUGUUUGGAGGGAACGUGGGGAAGUGAAACAUCUCAGUACUCACAGGAAAAGAAAACAAUUGUGAUUCCGUUAGUAGUGGCGAGCGAAAGCGGAAGUAGGCUAAACCGCAUCUGUGUGAUAGUUGACAGACGUUGCAGGUGUGGGGUUGUGGGAAGUGUUUUGAUCAAGCUGUUGAUUGGUCGGAGAGUUAGAAAUCAUUAGUUAAGUAGAAGCGUGCUGGAAAGUUGCGGCAUAGAAGGUGAGACCCCUGUAUGCGUAAGCUAGUGACUCUUUUAAUGCUUUUUCCCAAGUAACACGGAACCCCUGAAAUUCCGUGUGAAUCUGGCGGGACCAUCCGCUAAGCCUAAAUACUCCUUGGUGACCGAUAGCGGACUAGUACCGUGAGGGAAAGGUGAAAAGUACCCCGGGAGGGGAGUGAAAUAGUACCUGAAACCGUUUGCAUACAAUCCGUCGGAGCCCGAGAGGGUGACGGCGUGCCUUUUGAAGAAUGAGCCUGCGAGUUAGUGGUGUGUGGCGAGGUUAACCUGUGUGGGGUAGCCGUAGCGAAAGCGAGUCCGAAUAGGGCGUUUUAGUCGCAUACUCUAGACCCGAAGCGUUGUGAUCUAUCCAUGGCCAGGUUGAAGCGACGGUAAGACGUCGUGGAGGACCGAACCGACUUAAGUUGAAAAUUGAGCGGAUGAGCUGUGGAUAGGGGUGAAAGGCCAAUCAAACAACGUGAUAGCUGGUUCUCCCCGAAAUGCAUAUAGGUGCAGCGUUACGUGUUUCUUUCCGGAGGUAGAGCACUGGAUGGUCUAGGGGGCCUAUAAGCUUACCGAAAUCAACCAAACUCCGAAUGCCGGAAAGUUAGAGCGUAGCAGUGAGACUGCGGGGGAUAAGCUUCGUAGUCGAAAGGGAAACAGCCCAGAUCAUCAGCUAAGGCCCCUAAGAGAUAACUAAGUGGAAAAGGAUGUGGAGUUGCGGAGACAACCAGGAGGUUGGCUUGGAAGCAGCCACCCUUGAAAGAGUGCGUAAUAGCUCACUGGUCAAGUGAUUCUGCGCCGACAAUUUAGCGGGGCUCAAGUUAUUCGCCGAAGCUAUGGCAUUUACACAUGUACUUGAUCUUUGAUCCAGGUGUGUGGAUGGGUAGGGGAGCGUCGUGUGUGUGUUGAAGUGGUGGGGUGACCCGACCGUGGAGUGCACACGAGUGAGAAUGCAGGCAUGAGUAGCGAAUGACGGGUGAGAAACCCGUCCGCCGAAUAUCCAAGGGUUCCAGGGUCAAGCUAAUCUUCCCUGGGUAAGUCUGGACCUAAGGCGAGGCCGACAGGCGUAGUCGAUGGAUAACGGGUUGAUAUUCCCGUACCGGCGUGUCAGCGAUCCUGCUGAACGAGAUAAUGCUAAGCAUGCAAGGGACUUUUUUUCACCUUCGGGUGUUUGAUUGUUUCCGAGUCUGUGACCCAAGUCUCCUUUAGGCAAGCUACGGAGGGACGCAGGAAGGUAGCCGUACCGGGCGAUGGUAGUCCCGGGCUAAGAGUUCGAGGGUGUCUAGUAGGUAAAUCCGCUAGGCGUUUAUCCUGAGGCUUGACGGGUAGACCGUAUGGUCGAAAUCGGUGAUCCUAUGCUGCCUAGAAAAUCUUCGUUAGCGAGUUGUCAUGUCCGCCAGUACCCUAAACCGACUCAGGUGGAUGAGUAGAGAAUACUAAGGCGUUCGAGAGAAUCGUGGUGAAGGAACUCGGCAAAAUACCCCCGUAACUUCGGAAUAAGGGGGGCCGGAGAGGUUUAUAGCCUUGAUGGCCGCAGAGACCACGCCCAAACGACUGUUUAUCAAAAACACAGGUCCGUGCCAACUUGAAAGAGGAUGUAUACGGACUGACUCCUGCCCGGUGCUGGAAGGUUAAGGGGAAGUGUCAACUUUUGUGAAGCACUGAACUUAAGCCCCAGUAAACGGCGGUGGUAACUAUAACCAUCCUAAGGUAGCGAAAUUCCUUGUCGGGUAAGUUCCGACCUGCACGAAUGGAGUAACGAUUUGGGCACUGUCUCCACCAUGAACUCGGCGAAAUUGCAUUACGAGUAAAGAUGCUCGUUACGCGUAGCAGGACGGAAAGACCCCGGGACCUUUACUAUAGUUUGGUAUUGGUGAUCGGAACGACUUGUGUAGGAUAGGUGGGAGACUUUGAAGCUCAGACGCUAGUUUGGGUGGAGUCAUUGUUGAAAUACCACUCUGGUCGUUCUGGUUAUCUAACCUAGGUCCAUUAUCUGGAUCAGGGACAUUGCCUGAUGGGUAGUUUGACUGGGGCGGUCGCCUCCUAAAAGGUAACGGAGGCGCCCAAAGGUUCCCUCAGCCUGGUUGGCAAUCAGGUGUCGAGUGUAAGUGCACAAGGGAGCUUGACUGUGAGACUGACAAGUCGAGCAGGAACGAAAGUUGGGACUAGUGAUCUUACGGUGGCGUAUGGAAGCGCCGUAACUCAACGGAUAAAAGGUACCCCGGGGAUAACAGGCUGAUCUUGCCCGAGCGCUCAUAGCGACGGCAUGGUUUGGCACCUCGAUGUCGGCUCGUCGCAUCCUGGGGCUGGAGUCGGUCCCAAGGGUUGGGCUGUUCGCCCAUUAAAGCGGCACGCGAGCUGGGUUCAGAACGUCGUGAGACAGUUCGGUCCCUAUCCGCUACGCGCGUAGGAGUCUUGAGAAGGGCUGUCUUUAGUACGAGAGGACCGAGACGGACUAACCUCUGGUGUGCCAGUUGUUCUGCCAAGAGCACGGCUGGUUGGCUACGUUGGGAAGUGAUAACCGCUGAAAGCAUCUAAGUGGGAAGCACGCUUCAAGAUGAGGACUCCCGCCCUUUGUGGGGUAAGACCUCCGGUAGACUACCGGGUUGAUAGGACAGAUGUGGAAGUGUAGUAAUACAUGGAGCUGACUGUUACUAAUAGGUUGAGGGCUUGUUUUU
rfam:Propionimicrobium lymphophilum ACS-093-V-SCH5 genomic scaffold aczIt-supercont-complete, whole genome shotgun sequence.